UACAGAGGGGGCAAGCGUUGUUCGGAAUUACUGGGCGUAAAGGGCGCGUAGGCGGCCUUCUAAGUCGAACGUGAAAUCCCUGGGCUCAACCCAGGAACUGCGUCCGAUACUGAAAGGCUUGAAUCCGGGAGAGGGAUGCGGAAUUCCAGGUGUAGCGGUGAAAUGCGCAGAUAUCAGGAAGAACACCCGUGGCGAAGGCGGCUCUCUGGGACGGUACUGACGCUGAGACGCGAAAGCGUGGGGAGCGAACAGG
rnacentral:rRNA from 1 species